rnacentral:snoRNA from 1 species
GGAAGGUGAUGAAGCCAAAUAUAUUAAUAAAACUGUGAUAGUCGGAGUAAAUGAACCUGAAUAUUUGAGUCUACUAAAACCACCGAUUCC